UCACCGGAAUAACGUUUUCUUUUCAGUGUUGAUAUUUGAUAUUGCUGUCUUUACACUUCACUUUUCUUUCAGAGACAGAAUAAGUGAGCUUUGUAGCUUUGUUUGUUUGUCACUGAAUGUAGAAAUAGAGAGGUUUGCGAAGUUCUGUUUCUACAAAUUAUGGACAAAUUGUACAGUUCUAACCAUCCUAACCACGACAUUUCAGAUAUCCAAAAACAUUUUCAACACAUCUAAAUGUCAUAGGGAAUGAAAAGAGCUGCAAAUUGGAGCAUAUACUACAGUGCUAAUCAGGAAGAACAAAUGACCUGCACCGUAGCUGCUGCUGUUUGCACAGAUCUUUGUUCCAGGCUCAUCAGAUGAAACACAGAUAACCACAUGCUAUUCAGCAUCAAUGGAACAGGCAGCAGCUGCCUUUGCAUCGCAGUUAAGCCACAUUCUUAUUUGUUUUCACUUCGUAAAGUCAUAGGGUCAGUGCAGUGGUUCGCCGGUCAAUGCUGCUGUGUUAUGGCAAGGCGUGACCCAAGAAAGGCAGUAAAUGUACCGCCCUUGUUCUUGAUGUAGUUUUUAUGUACGGACAAUGUGAGCAGUUUGUCUGACUGAAGUGGUGAUUAAAGCUGACAAAUAGGACCAGGGCUAAGAGCCAUUGGCUGAAUCCACGCUAGGGUCUCUUAAAGCCUAAAGCCUAAUUGGCAUUAUUUUGGCUUUGAAGGGUCACAGGCUUAAACCUUUUAUUGUGGUCACCGUAAUGCCAAUCUUCCUCCCCCACUUCUGCACCUCCCUGCACCGUUUUGUUCUUACCCAGUCAGACAACCACCUUCACCUCAGCGCAAGUGCUCUUUUUACCUCCUUUUUUUUCCCCAUAACCUUUGACCUUAUGGACCGAUCUGCAAUCAUCUGGAGCAGUCCUCCCCUAUUUAAUUCUCUCCUUUGUAGUCACUCUGACACCCGGCAAACUA